rnacentral:rRNA from 1 species
GACGAACCGUACGAACGUUAUUCGGAAUCACUGGGCUUAAAGGGCGCGUAGGCGGCUUGCCAAGUCAGGGGUGAAAUCCUUCGGCUUAACCGGAAAAGUGCCUUUGAUACUGGCGGGCUCGAGGGAGGUAGGGGUAUGUGGAACUUCCGGUGGAGCGGUGAAAUGUUUUGAUAUCGGAAGGAACGCCGGUGGCGAAAGCGACGUACUGGACCUCUUCUGACGCUGAGGCGCGAAAGCUAGGGGAGCAAACGGG